rnacentral:rRNA from 1 species
CCUACGGGUGGCAGCAGUGAGGAAUAUUGGUCAAUGGGCGCGAGCCUGAACCAGCCAAGCAGCGUGAAGGAUGACUGCCCUACGGGUCGUAAACUUCUUUUAUAAAGGAAUAAAGUGAGGCACGUGUGCCUUUUUGUAUGUACUUUAUGAAUAAGGAUCGGCUAACUCCGUGCCAGCAGCCGCGGUAAUACGGAGGAUCCGAGCGUUAUCCGGAUUUAUUGGGUUUAAAGGGAGCGUAGAUGGGUUGUUAAGUCAGUUGUGAAAGUUUGCGGCUCAACCGUAAAAUUGCAGUUGAUACUGGCAGUCUUGAGUACAGUUGAGGUAGGCGGAAUUCGUGGUGUAGCGGUGAAAUGCUUAGAUAUCACGAAGAACUCCGAUUGCGAAGGCAGCUUACUAAACUGCCACUGACAUUGAUGCUCGAAAGUGUGGGUAUCAAACAGGAUUAGAUACCCGUGUAGUC